AAUGGUUUCGACGGGGAUGUACUUCAUUUAGGAAGCGAGCCGAGGGAAUCCUAGUCCCGCGUUAAAAAACCAGGAAUUAAAUAUAAACGCAGACGAUAAUUUUGCAUUAGCAGCUUAAUAUAGCUGCUCGUUCUACCUAGGAGGCCCACGGCCUGGGAUAGGGCGUCGACUAGUGGGAAAACGAGCCUAACAAAGCUUUGAGUUAGGAACGGAAUUCAUGAAGCUACCGAAAUGAAAAUCCUGUCAGUGGGAGUUUCAUAGAGGGAAUUUUAAAACACUGAAUGCGCUCGGAGAUGCCUAGAUGGGGUUGUUUUCGGACAGGGGUUCGAUUCA
rnacentral:tmRNA from 1 species